rnacentral:rRNA from 1 species
GACGAACGCUGGCGGCGCGCUUAACACAUGCAAGUCGAGCGACGAAAGGUCCUUCGGGACCCUGAAAGCGGCGAACGGGUGAGUAACACGUGGGUAACCAACCCUCGGUUUCGGGAUAGCCCGGGGAAACCCGGAUUAAUACCGAAUGGCCUCGCUGGCCCACGGGUCGGCGAGAAAAGGUAGCUUCGGCCUCCGACCGAGGACGGGCCCGCGGCCGAUUAGCUUGUUGGCGGGGUAAUGGCCCACCAAGGCGACGAUCGGUAGCUGGUCUGAGAGGACGAUCAGCCACACUGGGACUGAGACACGGCCCAGACUCCUACGGGAGGCAGCAGUGGGGAAUCUUGCGCAAUGGGCGAAAGCCUGACGCAGCGACGCCGCGUGCGGGAAGAAGGCCUUAGGGUUGUAAACCGCUUUCAGGAGGGACGAAGCUACUCGGGUUAAUAGCCCAGAGGGUGACGGUACCUCCAGAAGAAGCCCCGGCUAACUACGUGCCAGCAGCCGCAGUAACAC